UGCAGGAACUUGUGAGUCUCCUAUUAAAAAUAAACAGGAGACUGAUGAGUUCCCGGGAA
rnacentral:pre_miRNA from 1 species